UUGCUUCAGCAGCACAUAUACUAAAAUUGGAACAAUAGAGAGAAGGUUAGCAUAGCCCCUGCACAAGGAUGACGUGCAAAUUCAUGAAGAGUUCCAUAUUUUU